CCGCGCGCGGCGGCCCACGUGGGCGCCCCCCGGCGCACAUGGCGCUGCCCCUGCGGAGGCUGCUGCAGGCCCGGAGGCCCGCGGGCCGGCCGGGGACGCGGCGCGAGGCCAGCCAGGGCGCCGACCCCGGUGCUGCGGUGCGAGUGCGGUUCGCCCCCAGCCCCACAGGCUUCCUGCACCUGGGUGGCCUCCGUACUGCCUUGUACAACUACAUCUUCGCCAAGAAGCAUGGAGGGAGCUUCAUCCUGCGGCUGGAGGACACAGACCAGACCCGCCUUGUGCCUGGGGCCGCGGAGAACAUUGAGGCUAUGCUGGAGUGGGCAGGUGUCCCCCCAGACGAGAGCCCGCGCCGGGGUGGUCCCGCUGGGCCCUACCAGCAGUCUCAGCGGCUCGAGCUGUAUGCCCGGGCCACGGAAGCGCUGCUCAAGACUGGCGCGGCCUACCCUUGCUUCUGCUCGCCCCAGCGACUGGAGCUCCUGAAGAAGGAGGCGCUGAGGAACCGCCAGACGCCCCGAUAUGACAACCGCUGCCGCCACCUGACCCAGGCGCAGGUGGCCCAGAAGCUGGCCCAGGAGCCCCGGCCCGCCAUCCGCUUCCGCCUGGAGGGGGAGGCGCCCGCCUUCCAGGACCUGGUCUAUGGCUGGAACCGGCACGAGGUGGCGAGCGUGGAGGGGGACCCAGUCAUCCUGAAGAGCGACGGCUUCCCCACCUACCACCUGGCCUGCGUGGUGGACGACCACCACAUGGGCAUCAGCCACGUGCUGCGGGGCUCCGAGUGGCUGGUGUCCACCGCCAAGCACCUGCUCCUCUACCAGGCCCUGGGCUGGCCGCCACCGCGUUUCGCCCACCUGCCCCUGCUCCUCAACCGGGACGGCAGCAAACUGUCCAAGCGGCAGGGCGACAUCUUCCUGGAGCACUUCGCUGCCGCCGGCUUCCUGCCUGAUGCCCUGCUCGACAUCAUCACCAACUGCGGCUCGGGGUUUCCAGAGAACCAGAUGGGCAGGACCUUGCCGGAGCUGAUCGCGCAGUUUGACCUCUCCCGGAUCACCUGCCACUCAGCGCUGCUGGACCUGGAGAAGCUUCCAGAAUUCAACAGGCUGCACCUCCGCCGGCUGCUGGGCAGUGAGCCGCAGCGGCACCAGCUGGUCGGGAAGCUGCGGGCACUGGUGGAGGAGGCGUUCGGGAGCCAGCUGGAGGACAGGGCAGUCCUGGAGCCUGCCUACCUGGAGAGGAUCGUCCUGCUGAGACAGGGUCACAUUGGCCGCCUGCAGGACCUGGUCUCCCCAGCACACGCCUACCUGUGGACACGCCCCACCGUUGCCCAGGCGCAGCUGGGGGCCAUCACGGAGGAGGCAGAGGUGAUCGCCAGGCGCGUGCUGGGUGCAGCCCCUAAGGAAACUGCUUCUCUCCCAGGCUGCUGGACGGCCCCGGGCUGAGCCUCACCCAGGACGCGCUGAACGGGGAGCUGAGGAAGCUGUCGGCGGGGCUGCCGGGCACCAAGCACAGCCACGUGAUGAAGCUCCUCCGGGUGGCCCUCAGCGGGCAGCUGCAAGGCCCGCCGGUCGCCGAGAUGAUGGUGUCCUUGGGCCCUCAGGAAGUGCGGCAACGGAUCCAGAAACUGCUGUCCAGCUAGAGGGACAAGGAGCGGCCAGAGCAGGUGGCCAGGAGACUGCACGCGCAGCGGCUGCAUCCAGGGGGAGGAGCAGGAGGCCCGGCGCCCCAGGACAGCGGGGGCAGGAGGCAGGAAUUGACCCAGACACUCAGGUGGCUCUGGGCACCUCUACGCCCCUCUUCUGAACCCCAGAGGCUGCCUGGUGGCCAGCACCACGUCACACAGAGCAGAUUCACGGAACAUUCCUGGAGGCUCACGUCUCAGCGGGCUCGAGCUGGCGUUAGGAAACACUGCCAAAUGGGCUAGAGAGAGCCUAGCAGGCAGGGCCACAGGAAGCCAGCUGGGUCCUCGGCACCACAGGGCCCCCUGGGCACUGCCAGAGGUGGGCAGAGACAAUUAUGUGUGUGUGACUAUACAUAUAUACACACAUAUGUUUAAUUAAAGCCACUAGUCUGGUGUGUGUAUAUAUUUAUGUG